AUUUUACUCCCUCCGUCCCGAAUUACUUGUCGCAAAAAUGGAUGCAUCUAGACAUAUUUUUAGUUCUAGAUACAUCCAUUUCUGCGACAAGUAAUUCGGGGCGGAGGGGGUAUCUG
rfam:Triticum aestivum genome assembly, contig: Triticum_aestivum_CS42_TGACv1_scaffold_064603_1DL